rnacentral:rRNA from 1 species
AAUCAACGCUGGCGGCGUGCCUAACACAUGCAAGUCGAACGGGAAAACAGGGGCAACUCUGUGAGUACAGUGGCGUACGGGUGAGUAACACGUGACUACCUACCCUCGAGUGGGGGAUAACCCCGGGAAACCGGGGCGUAAUACGCAUAACAUCGAGAGAUCAAAGGAGAAAUCCGCUUGAGGAGGGGGUCGCGGCUGAUUAGCUAGUUGGUGAGGUAAU